CUACGGGCGGCACCAGUAGGGAAUCUUGCACAAUGGGCGAAAGCCUGAUGCAGCGACUCCGCGUGAAGGAUGAAGCAUUAUGGUGUGUAAACUUCUUUUCUGGGGGAAGACGAAUGACGGUACCUCAGGAAUAAGGGACGGCUAACUACGUGCCAGCAGCCGCGGUAAUACGUAGGUCUCGAGCGUUAUCCGGAGUUACUGGGCGUAAAGCGUCUGUAGCCGGAUGUGUAAGUCUAUUUUCAAAUACUCUGACUCAAUCAGAGAGAGGGAAUAGAUACUGCACGUCUAGAGUGUUUUGGGGGUUAGUGGAAUUUCCGGUGGAGCGGUGAAAUGCGUUGAUAUCGGAAGGAACGCCAAAAGCGAAAGCAGCUAACCAUGAAAUUACUGACGGUCAGAGACGAAAGCUUGGGGAGCAAACGGGAUUAGAUACCCGCGUAGUC
rnacentral:rRNA from 1 species